rnacentral:rRNA from 1 species
GUGGGGAAUAUUGGACAAUGGGCGCAAGCCUGAUCCAGCCAUGCCGCGUGUGUGAAGAAGGCCUUCGGGUUGUAAAGCACUUUUGUCCGGGAAGAAAUCUUCCAGGUUAAUACCCUGGGAGGCUGACGGUACCGGAAGAAUAAGCACCGGCUAACUUCGUGCCAGCAGCCGCGGUAAUACGAAGGGUGCAAGCGUUACUCGGAAUUACUGGGCGUAAAGCGUGCGUAGGUGGUUCGUUAAGUCUGCCGUGAAAGCCCCGGGCUCAACCUGGGGAUGGCGGUGGAUACUGGCGGGCUAGAGUGCGGUAGAGGGUAGUGGAAUUCCCGGUGUAGCAGUGAAAUGCGUAGAGAUCGGGAGGAACAUCUGUGGCGAAGGCGGCCACCUGGACCAGCACUGACACUGAGGCACGAAAGCGUGGGGAGCAAACAGGAUUAGAAACCCCGGUAGUCC